AUGUCCUGAAGCAUCUCCUUGUGCAGGACAGGCCAGUAUAUUGUUCUAUGUAGACCUUCAGGCUCUGUCACAUCAAGUCUUGAACUAAAAUAUUCAUUAAUAUUGAUCUAUCAUUAAUACCAAAAAGGACCUUCUGACUCCUGCCCAAGGCUUGGUAAAAAGAAAGGAGAGCGUACUAUUUCUGUUUGUUUAACAGAUGGGGAUGUCCCACAGAGCAAGAAUCUUUAUCUUCUGCCAACUUACCAGUUUCCCUGGACCAUCUCUGAGCAACUAAUUCUGGAACUGCACUGAGAUGGCACUGUGUGCUCUACACAUGAUACCCACUACCCAUACUGAAACAGAAAUUAAUCAUCCUUUGAGCAUUCCAUGACUCUGAAAUCAAGCUUAUUCAAAACAACUUCUCUAAAGAUUCCUGCUUUUUUAGAGUGGGAUUAAGGCAUACAAUCUACAGUCACUUUCACAAAAAAAAAAAAAAAAAAGGAAAUAUUAAUGAAACAGUUUCAGAGGUGACCUUUUAAUUUUGGAUUUUAUUAGGACUACUUACAGAAGUAUGGGUAUGUGUUGCUUGCUGGAGCAGAAGAGAUUCAAAGACAUCUCUGUCACUGAAAUGCAUCUUAGUAUAGAUGAUGGCUUAUGAAGCUGGAACUUUGAGUGUAAAACACAAUGGCAGGCAGCUCAACAGGCUGUGGCGUCUUCCUGGCAGUAGCCUUUAGUACUGGAAGAUGCUAAAGCAGCAGCAAUGGGGAAUUUCUAUUUUCUAGCCACAUCUAUCGAAGCUGAGACCCAAAUAACCCUGGGACUCCCACGGUCAGUCACAGGGUCUGAGGUUAGUUUGCCUGUGAUCUACCCCCUUAUCUUGAAACACGAGACUCCAAAUCUUUAUGCAUUCUGCAGACUUUUCCCCCUGACUUUUAUGUCAGUUGUGGCCUGGUCUGUAAUUCUAUGCCUUUCUCAAGUUUUGACCCAGUCCAUGCAUAAGGUUUGCCCUCGGUUUAUCCAAUACCAUCGGAUUCAGUGGCCUUCUGUCAUCUGUUCUACACACAUUCGCCUGGCCUCAGCACUGUGGGGCUGGCUGCCCUCCAGAACCUCAUCCUGGAAGCAGCUGUCCUCACAAGGAGAGAGGAGCUUGGUUCAUCUGUAAAUAUUUUCAAGGAGCAGGACUCAAUGUCACAAAGAGGUCAAGGCUUCAGUCAUGUGGCAAGUGUGACAUGAUGGCAUAUGAGAAAAGAUUUAACUUAGCAGGCAGUACAGUGCCUCUAAAGUGACAGAGACCUAAAGCGAGCCAGUGUGUAUUAGAAGCCCUGCCUUACUGACUUUCUAGCUAGGCUCUCCAAAUUCAAUCUUAAGAUCCUUAUAAUGUUGCUUGGAGAAUUUCAGUGAGCUCUUUGUAAAGCUUGGUUUUUUAUACCUCUCUUAAGUACUUCACAUAUACAAGGUUAGGAUGUACCCCUGAAGUAAAGAGAGUGUCAAAUAUUAGCAGAUACAUGAUCAGGGAGUUUACCUUCUAUUUAGACAAUUUUAGUGAAUUCUAGUCUCCACACAGACUGGAUUAUUAAACAUGUCAUAAUGAAGUUGGAAGAAAUGGGCACCAAAGGAAAGGAUGGAUUAUUGUCAGUGGGAGGAUUCAGUGUUAUGCAAGAAGUGGGCGUUGACAUGAAAUGUGAAUAAGUUCUUUUACCCCCUUGUAUGCUGGUGUCUGAGAUGUAAAUUUCCUAGGAAAAAGAUAAUGUAAUGAAAACUAAGGUGUGUUAUUUGAAGGCAAGUUAAUAUGGAGUGUCAUUGCUAACAGUCAGAGCUGACUAGAACAGAGCUCAUUGUGAAUGAAAUGUAGAAAAGAAUUUGAUAGGCUAUGUGAGACCAUUUUGGAUGUGUAUCAAUGUUCACAUCAGUGUGAAACAUGUCCUGUGGAGAAGAGGGUCCCAAGGUCUAGGUUCAGAGCAAUAAGCUACUCUUCUAACACUGCUGGAAGGAGAUAUAUGGACCACAAAGGCUCUGAGGACGUAGGACUUGAAUUCAAAUUUCAGUCUCUAGUUUUCUGUGUGUGCCAUUACAUGAUUCAUUUACUCUUUGUAUCCACAGUGUGCUCAAGUGUAAAAAGAGGAUUAUACUUGACCAAGUCUUCUUAAACUUUCAACUUGGACACUCAGCAUGCAAAGUAUAUAAACAAAUCAAAUGUUAUUAAUAAUAAAAGAUGACUUUAUUUU
ensembl:lincRNA